rnacentral:rRNA from 1 species
UAGGGAAUAUUGGACAAUGGGCGCAAGCCUGAUCCAGCCAUGCCGCGUGAGUGAAGAAGGCCCUCGGGUUGUAAAGCUCUUUUGUCCGGAAAGAAAAGCAUCGGGUUAAUACCCCGGUGUUCUGACGGUACCGGAAGAAUAAGCACCGGCUAACUUCGUGCCAGCAGCCGCGGUAAUACGAGGGGUGCAAGCGUUACUCGGAAUUACUGGGCGUAAAGCGUGCGUAGGUGGUUCGUUAAGUCUGAUGUGAAAGCCCUGGGCUCAACCUGGGAAUGGCAUUGGAAACUGGCGGACUGGAGUGCGGUAGAGNGUAGCGGAAUUCCCGGUGUAGCAGUGAAAUGCGUAGAGAUCGGGAGGAACAUCCGUGGCGAAGGCGGCUACCUGGACCAGCACUGACACUGAGGCACGAAAGCGUGGGGAGCAAACG